CGGAGGGGCUAGCGUUGUUCGGAAUUACUGGGCGUAAAGCGCACGUAGGCGGCUUUACAAGUCAGGGGUGAAAGCCCGCGGCUCAACCGCGGAAUUGCCCUUGAGACUGUAUCGCUUGAACACGGGAGAGGUGAGUGGAAUUCCGAGUGUAGAGGUGAAAUUCGUAGAUAUUCGGAAGAACACCAGUGGCGAAGGCGGCUCACUGGACCGUAGUUGACGCUGAGGUGCGAAAGCGUGGGGAGCAAACAGGAUU
rnacentral:rRNA from 1 species